rnacentral:rRNA from 1 species
GACGAACGCUGGCGGCGUGCUUAACACAUGCAAGUCGAACGGAAAGGCCCUGCUUUUGUGGGGUGCUCGAGUGGCGAACGGGUGAGUAACACAUGAGUAACCUGCCCUUGACUUUGGGAUAACUUCAGGAAACUGGGGCUAAUCCCGGAUAGGAGCUCCUGCUGCAUGGUGGGGGUUGGAAAGUUUCGGCGGUUGGGGAUGGACUAGCGGCUUAUCAGCUUGUUGGUGGGGUAGUGGCUUACCAAGGCUUUGACGGGUAGCCGGCCUGAGAGGGUGACCGGCCACAUUGGGCCUGCGAUACGGCCCAGACUCCUACGGGAGACAGCAGUGGGGAAUAUUGCACAAUGGGCGGAAGCCUGAUGCAGCAACGCCGCGUGCGGGAUGACGGCCUUCGGGUUGUAAACCGCUUUCGCCUGUGACGAAGCGUGAGUGACGGUAAUGGGUAAAGAAGCACCGGCUAACUACGUG